UUGUCAACUCGGUGAACUUUCUCGAGAGAGCACCGGGCAGCUUCUCUCGCCUCUCUCCUUCCCCCUUGUCUCUCACUGGCCUCUGGGUCGCUUCCAAAAGGUUGCUUCCUUCGAGUUUUCCCUGUGAAGCUUCACCUUGGCGUGGUCCACAUGGAAGGCAGAAUCAACCCCACUCACAGAUUCCCAAAGGGUCGAGUUUGGACAGUACUCCGGAGCAACGUUUUUGCUUUUGCUUUUUUUUUUCUUCAACUCCUACCCAGUGGUUGAUCUAUCAACAUCCUGCAAUUUUGGAAAUUUCACUUUAUGAUUCACAAGUACCUGGAAUCUGCAGAGGAUUUUUGCUGUUAGGAGGAAAGGUAAUUGCUUCUCCACUUGAUGCCAUUUCUACUUACAAACGGUUUCAGGGGACCGCUCUGCUUUCGGACACUGAGGAAAACGCCGUGCCGUCUUGGUCUCAACCGCCGUCUCUCCUCCAAUAGGGAAGUCACUGUCUUCUGAUGAAGCCACGUUGACUUGCAGGUCUUGGAUGAUUCAAAAAAAAAGAUCUUUCCAUCUCUGGACUUCCAGCUAGGCCUAAACAGAAAACAUGACCUUUUCAGAAAAGACGUUUAUUCAAGGUUUAAACCCAGUGGGUGGGCAUCAACAGAAUCAGGUGUGCUAACAGCACGCCCUGCGUCUGGAGAGGAUACCAGCCCUGCAAAUAAAGGAAGAACCCAGAAGACCAGAUCCGAAUCUCGAAGAGCCCUCGAGGAGCCAUGCUCCCAUCACUCCCUGCCGUCUCCGCUGCCUUCUUAGGAGUUUGAAUUAUGAGGUUAAGUACUUGAAUCAACCAUACUUUUCAGUGAUCUUCCAGUGGAAACCCUUCUGGACCAAAUACCACCAAAGGGAGCCUCUGUGCCUGGGUUGGUGGUGAAGGGUCAUGGAGUUGCCGUUUUUAGAGUCAGCUUCCCAAGUCCGCGGGGCACCCCAUGCUUUGCUUCUUGUUGCCUUUCCAGUUGGGUGCUUCCCUGAAGGAUACCUAGUAGCUUGCACCUGACCUGAAUACCAGUCACAGCAGCCUCCUCAGCUAGAGCCAUUCUUAAUGUAUCCAUCCGUCCAACACAUAUUUCCUGAGCUCCUACUGUGUGCGGUGCUGCAGCGAUGCGGUCAACAACAGUCCUGUCCCUGCUUUCAGGACAUUCACAGUGCAGUAGAGGGGAAAAGACAGUGUUUAAAGGACCAGGGAUGAAAUUCAAAUUGAUGCAGAUUGAAUUCCCCUCGGAAAACUUCCCUCUGGCUCCAGAGAAUGGACUAGGGGCUGGGGGAGGGGCGCCACUCUCUGCCACCUGCUACCAUUCUGUGUGACACCGCUAGCACUCAGUCACCCUCUUUUUUAAUUUCCUGCAAGCACCGCACACACGUGCCCUGAAAGGCCUGCGUUUGUUUUCUUUUCCCCCCGGUGGCCAGUCUGCCUUUACAACACACAAUGGAAGCUUCAUGUAGGGAGGCACUUCCUCCAGUUUGCAGAAUUCCUGGAACCAAGAGGGAGCCCUGUCUUCUUUGUUGAGCCCAUGAGGGACUUGUCCCUUAAACUCCAGUAAGGCAGGAAUGCUAGAAGCACCUGGGAGAAGGCACGUGGGAAUUCCGAGAGGCAGUGGGAGGCCCCUGUACCUGGUGGGAAAGCCCUGCUGGCCUGAGCUGUUGUCACUCAAGGGGCUCCGGUCUGCUCCCUAGGAAUCCCUGGGGGAUUUGGAAAGAAGACCUUUCUUUGUUGUCGUAAUUUAAUUGCUGGUUAGCACUUCCAUCCAAGUUCAGCGAUAACUUCUGGAAUUUGCACCUGAAGAACUUUUUNCCCCCCCCCCCCCCCCCCCUGCUCUCUUCCCAGAAAUGGGUGCCUGGCCGAAAACCCAUGUACUUAGCAGUUGGCUGUGGCAGCACAUGAGUAAUCUCCCACCUUCAUCAAGGAAGGAAGAAAUGGAAAACUUGAUCCCCAGGUGGCUUCGCAGGAACUGGAAAAAAAAAAAAAAAAAAAAAAAA
rnacentral:lncRNA from 1 species